rnacentral:rRNA from 1 species
ACACACGUGUUACAAUGGGGGGUACAGAGGGCCGCUACCACGCGAGUGGAUGCCAAUCCCUAAAACCCCUCUCAGUUCGGACUGGAGUCUGCAACCCGACUCCACGAAGCUGGAUUCGCUAGUAAUCGCGCAUCAGCCACGGCGCGGUGAAUACGUUCCCGGGCCUUGUACACACCGCCCGUCAAGCCAUGGGAGCCGGGGGUACCUGAAGUGCGUAACCGCGAGGAUCGCCCUAGGGUAAAACUGGUGACUGGGGCUAAGUCGUAACAAGGUACC